AAGUCGUAACAAGGUUUCCGUAGGUGAACCUGCGGAAGGAUCAUUAACACGUAUCCAAACGUUAAACCCCCCCGUGAACCUUCAGUGUACUCGUACGUCCGUUAGAACAAACGCUGCCAAUCGCGGCCGCGAUAAUACGCAGUCGACAAAAAACCGAACAACUGUUAACAAUGGAUAUCUUGGUUCUC
rnacentral:misc_RNA from 1 species